CCUGGUUGAUCCUGCCAGUAGUCAUAUGCUUGUCUCAAAGAUUAAGCCAUGCAUGUCUAAGUAUAAGCGACUAUACUGUGAAACUGCGAAUGGCUCAUUAAAUCAGUUAUGGUUUAUUUGAUGGUACCUUACUACUUGGAUAACCGUAGUAAUUCUAGAGCUAAUACAUGCAGGAAGACCCGNCUUCGGNNGGGUUGUAUUUAUUAGAUAAGAAACCAAUCCAGCUUGCUGGUUGCGUGCNGAGUCACAAUAACUGCUCGAAUCGCAUGACUUUACGUCGGCGAUGGUUCAUUCAAAUUUCUGCCCUAUCAGCUUUCGAUGGUAGGAUCGAGGCCUACCAUGGCGUUUACGGGUAACGGAGAAUUAGGGUUCGAUUCCGGAGAGGGAGCCUGAGAAAUGGCUACCACAUCCAAGGAAGGCAGCAGGCGCGUAAAUUGCCCGAAUCCUGACACAGGGAGGUAGUGACAAGAAAUAACAAUACAGGGCUNCAUCNAGUCUUGUAAUUGGAAUGAGUACAAUUUACAUCUCUUCACGAGGAUCAAUUGGAGGGCAAGUCUGGUGCCAGCAGCCGCGGUAAUUCCAGCUCCAAUAGCGUAUAUUAAAGUUGUUGCAGUUAAAACGCUCGUAGUCGGAUUUCGGGGCGGCUUCGUCGGUCUGCCGAUGGGUAUGCACUGACGCGGGCGUCCUUCCUUCCGGAGACGCGUCCUACUCUUAGCUGAGCGGGGGCGUGGAGACGGAUCGUUUACUUUGAAAAAAUCAGAGUGUUUCAAGCAGGCAGCUCGCUCUUGCAUGGAUUAGCAUGGGAUAAUGAAAUAGGACUUUGGUGCUAUUUUGUUGGUUUCGAGCACCGAAGUAAUGAUUAACAGGGACAGUCAGGGGCACUCGUAUUCCGCCGAGAGAGGUGAAAUUCUCAGACCAGCGGAAGACGAACCACUGCGAAAGCAUUUGCCAGGGAUGUUUUCACUGAUCAAGAACGAAAGUUAGGGGAUCGAAGACGAUCAGAUACCGUCGUAGUCUUAACCAUAAACCAUGCCGACUAGGGAUUNGANGAUGUUCACUNAUUGACUCNUUNAGCACCUUACGGGAAACUAAAGUCUUUGGGUUCCGGGGGGAGUAUGGUCGCAAGGCUGAAACUUAAAGGAAUUGACGGAAGGGCACCACCAGGAGUGGAGCCUGCGGCUUAAUU
rnacentral:rRNA from 1 species